UCUAGUCAGCCUCUGAGGUGUGGGUGGGCCUGAGAUCUGUCCUCUAGACUACCGAUCUAGUCUAAAAUGCCCGAGGAACUCUUGGACUGGCCUCCGCUUCUUCAGGGUCUCACAUUCAUCUGACAUAGAAUAGGCAGGUUAUAAGAAAGACGAAUUAUUUGCAGAGAACAAUUUCCCUAUGCCAGGAGAAGAAGGUGACAGAGAUAAAUGACCAGAGCUGCUUUUAAGACUCUUAGUCGCUCGCUUUCCUUUCCAGGGGAGAGCCAUUUCCAGAGUGUCUUCCUCUUAAGAUGCAGGUUUCUCAGCUUAUCUUCUCCCCAGAUGGCUGUAUAAGCCAGAUGAUGGCUAUGUUAACACCCUAGAAAAAAGUGUGAAUACACGGAAGAUUUAAGGGCCUUCCUGGGUUAAUAAGGACUCUUCCUGCACCCGUCUUCCCUGCCCAGCUCAGAUGGUUUCAGCUUCUAAAUCAGGUUAUCUCUCCAGUCUGCAUUCCCAGUAACUGAAUUAUCUUUGCGAAAUAAACGGCCGGCAUGGAAAUGGCACCCAGGCCGGGAUCAAGAUCUGUGGAGUGGCAUGCGUGAGGCGAAGGGGAGCAAAGGGCGAUGCAGUCUCCCCCCUCAGCCUUCUCUGCCUCCUCCCACCAACCCCCGACCUGCAGUAGUCAGCAGCCUGGCAUUAUGGGCUGGGCGGGCCAGGGAAACCUGCUGUUUGCCAGCAACUGUCAAUCUUCCAUCAAUUCCUGAAGCACCUUGGGAGGGGACAGCUCUGAAAAGGCUGUUUCCUAAGCCCAGGAGCUGGGAGUCGCAGGUUUCCGGUGAGACCUGAGGACCAGUCCUUUAACAAGCUGUCCAGGGAGGAGGUGAACCUGAGGAAUGCAGAUUUAGACAAGACGGCUUACAAGCUCAUUAAAGUUCUUUUCUUUACAGACUGGAGUAGAGUCACAAUACCUUGAAAACAGAACUUCUACAAA